CUACGGGUGGCUGCAGUGGGGAAUAUUGGACAAUGGACCAAAAGUCUGAUCCAGCAAUUCUGUGUGUUUGAUGAAGGCCUUCGGGUUGUAAAGAACUUUAAGUAGGGAAGAACAAAGUGACGGUACCUACAGAAUAAGCGACGGCUAAAUACGUGCCAGCAGCCGCGGUAAUACGUAUGUCGCAAGCGUUAUCCGGAAUUAUUGGGCAUAAAGCGCGUCUAGGCGGUUUACUAAGUCUGAUGUGAAAAUGCGGGGCUCAACUCCGUAUUGCGUUGGAAACUGGUAGACUAGAGUAUUGGAGAGGUAGGCGGAACUACAAGUGUAGAGGUGAAAUUCGUAGAUAUUUGUAGGAAUGCCAAUGACGAAGGUAGCUUACUGGACAAAUACUGACGCUGAAGCGCGAAAGCUAGGGGAGCAAACAGGAUUAGAUACCCGCGUAGUC
rnacentral:rRNA from 1 species